CCUACGGGCGGCUGCAGUGGGGAAUAUUGGACAAUGGGGGCAACCCUGAUCCAGCCAUGCCGCGUGUGUGAAGAAGGCCCUCGGGUUGUAAAGCACUUUCAGUGAGGAAGAACGCCUGGUGGUUAAUACCCAUCAGGAAAGACAUCACUCACAGAAGAAGCACCGGCUAACUCCGUGCCAGCAGCCGCGGUAAUACGGAGGGUGCGAGCGUUAAUCGGAAUUAUUGGGCGUAAAGCGCGCGUAGGUGGCUUGAUAAGCCGGUUGUGAAAGCCCCGGGCUCAACCUGGGAACGGCAUCCGGAACUGUCAAGCUAGAGUGCAGGAGAGGAAGGUAGAAUUCCCGGUGUAGCGGUGAAAUGCGUAGAGAGCGGGAGGAAUACCAGUGGCGAAGGCGGCCUUCUGGACUGACACUGACACUGAGGUGCGAAAGCGUGGGUAGCAAACAGGAUUAGAUACCCGAGUAGUC
rnacentral:rRNA from 1 species